rnacentral:rRNA from 1 species
UGGGGAAUUUUGGACAAUGGGCGCAAGCCUGAUCCGGCCAUGCCGCGUGCGGGAAGAAGGCCUUCGGGUUGUAAACCGCUUUUGUCAGGGAAGAAAUCUUCUGAGUUAAUACCUCGGGAGGAUGACGGUACCUGAAGAAUAAGCACCGGCUAACUACGUGCCAGCAGCCGCGGUAAUACGUAGGGUGCAAGCGUUAAUCGGAAUUACUGGGCGUAAAGCGUGCGCAGGCGGUUUUGUAAGACAGAGGUGAAAUCCCCGGGCUCAACCUGGGAACUGCCUUUGUGACUGCAAGGCUUGAGUGCGGCAGAGGGGGGUGGAAUUCCGCGUGUAGCAGUGAAAUGCGUAGAUAUGCGGAGGAACACCGAUGGCGAAGGCAAUCCCCUGGGCCUGCACUGACGCUCAUGCACGAAAGCGUGGGGAGCAAACAGGAUUAGAUACCCUGGUAGUCCACGCCCUAAACGAUGUCAACUGGUUGUUGGGAAGGUUCCUUCUCAGUAACGUAGCUAACGCGUGAAGUUGACCGCCUGGGGAGUACGGCCGCAAGGUUG